AUUGAACGCUGGCGGCAGGCCUAACACAUGCAAGUCGAGCGGAUGAUGGGAGUUUGCUUCUGGAUUGAGCGGUGAACGGGUGAGUACUGCCUAGGAAUCUGGCUGGAAGUGGGGGAAACCGUCCGGAAACCGGCGCUAGUACAGGAUACGUACUGUGGGUGCGCGUGGGGGGUCUUCGGCCUCUACGCAACCAGUUGAUCCUAGAUCAGAUUAGCUAGUUGGUGGGGUAAAGGCCUACCAAGGCGAUGAUCCGUAACUGAUCUGAGUGGAUGAUCAGUGACGCUGGAAGAGGGAGACGGUCCACACUCCUACGGUGAGCCGCAGUGGGGAAUAUUGGGCGAUGGGCGAAAGCCAUAUCCAGCCAUGCCGGGGAGGUUAAGAAGGUCUUCGGAUUGGGAAGCACUUUAAGUUGGGGGGAUGGACAGCAAUUUAAGGCCUUGCUGUAAUGACGUUACCAGCAGAAUAAGCACCGGCUAACUCCGUG
rnacentral:rRNA from 1 species